AACCUUAAGAUCAAAGUAAUGCUUCAAGGUCAAAACAUGUUCAACCUGAUGACAGACAAAGCUUUUGAGCAACAGCAUUCUGAAGAAGGAAGCCAGGAUGAUGAGAAAUCAAAGUAUGCAUACUUUCUAACCCCAGGGGAGGAGAGAAGGCGGAGUUUCCAUUUUCAAUCCUAGAAAGAAAAAUCACUAACUAUGCACACAGAUUUACCAUAAUCACUAUGAUUACUACGUUUUCUUUGGUAUCGACUUCCAGAAAGGCAGGCAAAUGUCACUGGUUUUUUUCACAUCUUCAUCCAUCCCGGUGAUACAUUUGUGCAUACACUUGUGUUAUCCUGGUUGACUUGAAUGAAUACCCAUUAGAGAUGAAAGGAGCUAUUAAGUCACCUCCCCUCUGCUUUGCACACAGGUCAAGCUCAAUCCCUCUUCCUCAGCCAAAACACUCAUUGGAUCUCUCUUUGCUUUUCUGCAGUGACUGGAGUGUAGCUGCCGCCGCCACCACCACCACCACCACCACCACCACCAUCUUAUCACCGCCAGCAAUGAGAUCUCAAGACAUUCUGUAAACAUUUCUUUGGCAUGUAUCAGUGUCCCUGAGAGCGUUGAUAAUCUGCUUGAAUGUGAGCUCAAUGCUGGGACGGCCUCCCCGGACUUGGCAGGCAGCCCUUGAACAAACCUUUUGUGCCUGCAUCCCUCUGAUGGACAGGCACUGAGGAUGCCGGUGACCCAGCUUCUAGAAAGAAUCACAGCAGGGAAGGGGCAUUGCUAAGUAGUCUUCCAACCUGGGGACACAAGCUAAAAAUGAGAGAAAACUCAGAUCAACAGUGCUGCUGAGCUUAUUACGUUUAAGACGAAAAACAAUACCUGAUUAAAGCAACAAAACACCUGGAUAUUUUGCAGUUAGCCCCGUUAAUCAGAGAAGGAUGAGCCUUGGGGCUGUGGCUCAGGUUCCUAAUCCUGUUGCUAGAGUUUUUCACUUUUGUUCUCAUUUCUGCGGCUGACAUGGGAUCCUACAGAUUGUUUAUCCCAAGGCUGUCUGGGCCUGGGCUCUGUGAACAGUGUCACUCUAAAAAUAACAGGCUGUGCCGAGAAUAGCAGACUUUCUCCUUUUUCCUGCAGAAGACGACUUCUCAGCUCCUUGGAGGGGUCAGUACGAGGUGAGAGCCAUAGAAAGAUGGCAACGAAAAAGAAAGAGACAUUCUGCAAUGGGUUGAAUGGGGUCUCCCUGACAUUUACAUCACCCAGAACCUCAAAAUAUGACCUUAUCUGGAAACAGGGUCUUUUGAGAUGUCAUGGAUUCUGCUGCCAUCAGCAGAGAGACAGAAAGGUCUGCCCUCUGGAAGUCAGCUGAAGCCCAGUGCAAAGUGCAGCUGGUCAAGACAUUGUGGUUCUCAAUCAGGAACCCUUUGCAAUGUCAGCCUCCCCUAGGAUGAGUGAGCAAGCUUGGCGGGAAUAUGGGGGUGUUGAUUAUGGUCUCUCCUCUGGGACAUUCAGAAUCAAUCUGUCCGUCGCAAGAUCGAAAUAAAGUGGUGAUAUAGAUGAGUCUGAGAACUUAUCUACAACUCACAGCAGCAACUCUCUGUGUAAAUGUUAAUUGUACAAUCAGGGUAAAAAAAAUAACUCUAAUACCAUAUGUGCAUGUUAGGAAAUUAUCUAAGUGCAUAUGGAAUCGGGAGCUCAGAGGCUGAAGGAACUGAAAGGAUUUUCCAUAUAAAAUUCUUUACUGCAUGUUACAGGCUGAAUUGUGUUUCCUCAAAAUUUAUAUGUUAAAUCCUAAACAUUGGGACCUCAGAAUGUCACUGUAUUUGGAGAUAAGGUCUUUAAAGAGGUGAUUAAGGUAAAAUGAGGUCACUAAGAUGGGCACCAAUCCAAUAGGACUGGGGUCUUUAUAAGAAGAGAAUAUUAGGACACAGACAUAAAUACAGGGACGACCCUGUGAGGACAAAGGGAGAAGACAGCAUCUACAAGCUCAGGAGAGAAGCUUUAGGAGGAGCCAACCCUUCCCAUACCUUGAGCUUAGACUUCCAGCCUCCAGGACUGUGGGAGAAUAAAUGUCUGCUGUUUGUAAACCACCCAGUCUAUGGUGUGCUGUUAUAGCAGCCUGAAAUGGACUAAGCCAUCUCAUAAGAAGAGGAGACAGAUACACACAGAGGGACAACCAUUUGAGGACACAGGGAGAAGACAGUGUCUACAAGCUCAGGAGAGAGGCCUCGAGAGGAACCAGCCCUGCCCACACCUUGAUCUUGGAAUUCCAACCUCCAGGACUGUGGAGAAUAAGUGUCUGUUGCUUGUAAGCCAUUAAGUCUAUGGUAUUAUGUUACAGAAGCCUGAAAUUGACUAAGACAUCUCAUAAGAAGAAGAGAUGAGGACACAGACACACACAGAGGGACGACCACAUGAGGACACAGGGAGAAGAUGGCAUCUACAAGGCUACGAGAGAGGCUUCAGGAGGAACCAGCCGUGCUCACCCCUUGAUCUCAGAUUUCCAGCCUCCAGAACCGUGAGAAAAUAAAUCUUUGUUGUUUAAGUCA